AGCGCCAUGCUACGAUUACAACACCCUGGGAGAUGAUGGACCGGUCCUCGCUUGGCUCGCCAGCUUAAGAUGCCACUGAGGAAGGAAAGCAAAAUGAAAGGCUGGUUGCAACAGGCGAUGAACCGGCGGCGUUGGGGAAACAAGUCCCGCCAGAGACUUGAGUUAUCUAUGGAGGGCCCCAGAGUUUGUCGGGAGACUCAGGGAGGGCAGAUGAAAUAAAAGCUCUCCUCUACCUCGCUGCACAUCGUUAACCUGCGGAACUCACUGCCACAAGCUUGGCCACCAAAGUCGGGUGGUUUUUAAAAAGGAAAUCAUCAACUGGGAAAUGGAUACAGGACGCAAGAUUGAAAUGGCAGCCUGGAAACGACUGCGGAAGCGCCCCAAAUGAUUUAUGCGCAGGGAUGGAAAAAAGAUAACAUCCCAAACCAAAGUAUGGCAGCAAAAAUUGUUGGAAUAUGCAGAAAUGGCGAGACUUAAUGGAAGAAUAAGAAACCAAGAAGACGUUUUUCAUUCAGAAUGGAAAUCGUUUUAUUGAGUAUUUAAAAUGUUAUUGUAAGCAGAUUAAAUCAUUACCAGGAUUGAUAUAACGACGUAAUGAAAAAUAAUAAUUUUGAGUAUAUUGGAUAAAGAAUAAUUAGCUUUAACUUGGAUAUGCAGUGAAAAUAAUAAAAUAUAAGCAACUGCAGAAGGGGGGUCGAAAUCGGGUUUUUAAAUGUAAGAAAUAAAUCAAUUGGGGGGGAUGAAUGUACAAGUUCAUAGAGGAACUCUUCAUGGCGAGAGAACUGUUCACAAAGCAGAAAUGGCUUCUGAACACCAGGUGCCGGAAGCCACAGGAGAGAAGAGGGCUGCUUUUGUGUUCGAAUCCUGCUUGCUAGGGCGUCCAGAUGGCUUUUCUGACAUUCUUAGUUCCCCCUUAAAGGUCCCCUUUAAAGGGACGCGGGUGGCGCUGUGGGUUAAACCACAGAGCCUAGGACUUGCCGAUCAGAAGAUCGGCGGUUCGAAUCCCUGCGACAGGGUGAGCUCCCGUUCCUCGGUCCCUGCUCCUGCCCACCUAGCAGUUUGAAAGCACACCAGUGCAAGUAGAUAAAUAGGUACCGCUCUGGCGGGAAGGUAGACGGCGUUUCUGUGCGCUGCUCUGGCUCGCCAGAAGCGGCUUAGUCCUGCUGGCCGCACGACCCGGAAGCUGUACGCCGGUUCCCUCGGCCAGUAAAGUGAGAUGAGCGCCGCAACCCCAGAGUCGGCCACGACUGGACCUAAUGGUCAGGGGUCCCUUUACAGGUCCCCAAGUCCUUGCCAAAGUUAUUUGGGGCUCCCCCA